GGCCAGCGGCUAUAGCUCUAAUUCGACCCAUAGCCUGGGAACCUCCAUAUGCUGUAGGUAUAGCCCUAAAAAGAAAAAAAAACAAAAAAACUCCAUUGCCUGCAAGGGAGCCCCCAGGGGGCUGGAAGCAAGUCAACUGCAGGUCGGCUGAUUCAUGACCUGCUUGUCCACUUAAUUUCAAUGAGCAACACUAAAACACAAGAAGGAACUGUGAAUGCCCUUGCUGGAUGACCUGACACCCAAUCUGUCUUCAGGGGUUAGGCUUGGCCUAUCCUGAAAGUACGUGAGUUGUUUCCACAUUAUAACUUGUGUCUUUUCGGAGCAGCUUUAGCCUGGAAGUCUCAGGGAGAAAAGACAGCAGUUAGAAUAAAAGCAUCAGAGCUGGAAAGGACUCAAGAUUAGAUCAUGAAUCGAGCCCCUUCCUUUAAUAGAUGAGUCAACAGGCUUCGAAAGUUGAAGGGACCUGCCUACAGACAUGCAGAUAAGUCAGGAACUUUUUUAGAUAAGAUGAGGCUUGGAAAUUAUCAAGUCCAGCCAGGGAGAGGAGAGCCCUCAGGGAAAGAGUAUCUUUGAUGCCCUACCCCUCCCUACGGCCGGCCCAAUUCUUCUCCCUCUCACCUUUUCAGGUAUGUGAUCUGCCCAGGUCAGACCUCUCCAGAAGGUCCCCUGAAUUCCUCAUCCCCCCUUCUACACCCCCUUCCUCAGCCAGGACAAACCAUUCCUGCCCAGUCUAUCAGGGCCUCCCCCAGUGAAACCAGCUCUCUCAGUGGAAAAACGAGCUGAUAAUUAAAUGCCCCCCACAACCUCAGCUGUUAAGAGCUGAUAAUGACAUCUAGUGGUUCUACACUCUCAUGGAUUAUUCUAACCUAGUUUUUGAAAAGACAAUGCAUUCAUGUGGUUUAAAAUUCAAACAAUAUAAAAAUUCUCAGUCCUGGAGUUCCCGUUGUGGCUCAGUGGUAAUGAACAUGCUAGUAUCCAUGAGGAUGCAGGUUCAAUCUCUGGCCUUGCUCAGUGGGUGAAGGGUCUGGUGUUGCCACAGGCUGCAGCAUAGGUCACAGAUGAAGCUUGGAUCUGGUGUUGCUGUGGCUGUGGUGUAGGACAGUGGCUACAGCUCCAAUUUGACCCCUAGCCUGGGAACUUCCAUAUGCCACCGGUGUGGCCCUAAAAAGAAGAGAAGAAAGAAAGAGGGAGGAAGAAAGAUUGACUUUCAUUCCUAUACCUGCCUGCCUUUCAUUGAGCCAAUUUCCAUCCCAAUUCUCUGCAGGUAACUAUUUUUUUUAUUUGUUUUGUGUGCAUCUUUACAGAAUUUAUGCCCAUAUAAGCAAAUAGAGCUAUAUUUACAGAGAAUUCCUAGGAGGUCUCAGAACUGUAUGCCAAAGUAAUCCUACCAACAGGAGAACUUUAGACAAUCUGAAAAUCUCAUAGAGCAAGGGACCCAGGACCCUUUUUAUCAUGAUUCAUAAGUUGCUGCUUUCUUGUAGUUGAAAUUCCCAGCUCUAGAGAAAUUGGUUCCAAUAGACCUCUGUAACAAGUUCGUCACCCAGAAAGAACCUCAACCUACUUCUUCAUUCCCAGGUCUGAAAGGAAGAAAGAGUGAGAUGGGGGAAACUCCAAGACACCUGUCUUCAUUGGUUGAUUCAUUUGUUGAACAUUCUUAGAGGUCCAGCAUUAAGCCAGGCUCUGGGGAGACUCAUGGCAAAAGGAAGACAACAUGGACCAAGGUUAUCAUUUAGAUUUCAAUUGCACCUGACAGAAAAUUCAACCUAAACAGGUCUAUAUUUAAAAACGGAACCAAUUAGCUGCCAGAACAGAAAUGUGCAAAGAUAAACUGGCUUUAGGUACAACUAGCUUCAGAGCUUCAAGGGCAUCUCUGCUCCCUCUGGGUUGGUUCAAUUCUUACUCACAGUGGUCCAGGCAAACCCUGAUCCAUCUCUUCACUGCUUUAGGCCAGUGAAAGUGAGCCAACAAUCUGGAAAACCCAAAUAUCCAGAGGUUGAAUGUUCUUAGAUCUGAUUGGCUUAAAUUGGAUCACCUGCCUAUCUCUGAACCAGUCACUGAAGCUCACAUGAUAGACUGUGCUGAUUGGUCUAGCCUAGGUCACAUGUUCCACUCUUUGCUCCCAAGGGUGGGGGUCUUUACCCAAAGCACAUAGGUUGAAAGUGAAGGAGGGUUGGUACCUACAAAUAAAACAAGGGUACUGUAGCCACACACACAGCAUAGGCUGCUGGGCCACAAAAAUAGGGCAUAUUCAGAGUUCCCUGGUGGCCCAGUGGUUUAAAGAUUCAGUGUUGUCAAUGCUGUGGCUCUGGUUGGGUCCUUGGCCUGGGAAAUUUCACAUGCCAAAAGCAAAAACAAAAACAAAAACAAAAACCAACCAAACAAAAAAACUCAACUAGAGAAUUUUUUAAACUAGAGAAUAUCGGUUCCAUCCGUGUAAUUACAAGUGCAGUGAAUAUUUCAAAGGGGAAAUUGCAGGGUCUGUCCCAGGAUGAGGUGUUAGGGACAGGCUCCCUAAGGAGAGAGCCAAGUGGAGGUUGUGGGUUUAUAUUCAAGUUGGGGGGUGGGGGGAAGACAGUGGUGGGUACUGUCUUAGAAAUGCCCAAACACCCCAAGAGAAUGAAUGAAGCCCUUUGCUGGAACUCAAAGAUCUACAGUGUGACCGGAGUUUAGGGAGCAGGAAUAGGGGAGUGACCAACACCAGAUGGGAAAGGAGCCCAGAGGAUGGACCUUCCACCUUUAAUCUAAGCCAUGGUCCACUGCCACGCUGCACAGCUGAUGGAUUCCCUGUGUUCAGGCCUGUCACCCAGCACAGUAGCUGGAGACCCAGUGCUGUGUGAGUUUGAGAAUCAUUUCCCUGCUUAAAGCAUGAAGCUUCACAGUCAACAUGGCCUUUGAGGCCCUCCCCACCCUCCAGCCUCCUGUCUCUCCCAUCCUCGACUUCUCCCUGUGCUGCUGCUCCCAUGCCCCCAAUUCAAAAGGGUAUUCAGAGAGCAAUCCAGCCAGGUGGCAGGGGUACCUGCUGAGAGCCUGUCCUCAGGACCCUUCUCAGGCACAGCAACUGGCCUCAUUGUACUCGUGGGGCUGCCUCUCCACUGACACCCACCUUGGGAACUGAGGCCCAGACGCUGGCUGUCACAGGACCUGGGGUUCAGAAGAAACAUGGGGAGAGAGCAGUAACCUUCCAGGAUAAGGAGAAGGCAGCAGAUCAGGGGCCACGGGAUCUUAAGGAUGCUCCUGACUGCUCCCUGGGCUCUGAAAGCUGCCAAAGGCUGAUCCAGAUUCCAGUUUUGAACUCUUGGGGAAAUUUUUCAUAACUUCUUCUAUUGGAACCACAGGAAAUGCAAAUUCUUCAGGGUCUCAUAAAUAGGAAGGUGGAGUCAGCAAGACAGGAGAGUGUCAGUUCUAUAUUUAAUACCUAGUACCUCUUACUUUAGGUUCUGGGCAGAAUUUUCUCCCCACUUCCUCUCUGGUUUCUGCUCUUUCUGACUUAUAUUUAAGCUGCCCAGUUUACAUAGGUGUUUUUAAUUACAAGUUGCCUCCACCAGUUACUUCCUGGAAGUAGAUUCAGGAAUAAAUGAAAGAAGAAUAUGACAGAAAGUGCAUUGUCUCUCUUUUUUUUAAUUCCACAGAGCCACCAUAGGUGUAAAAGAAUUUGCUAUAGAUCGAUUCCAGUCUCGCUCAUGUUUUAAAGCGUUUCCUUAUCCCCUGUCUAUGGUGUCAAAGUGGAAUCAGAGCCACCACUGAUGGACAGUCAGCUUCCUCUAUUUAAUCAGUUGCUCAUUAAUGCACUAUAUACAGUUGCCUCCUGACAGCCCAAGUGUAACCACAGCUGCAAAUGCACAUCUGUGUUGAGCUAACAGACCAGCUAGACUCACACCAAUCAUCUCUUUUAUGCAAGACCAAAAAAGUGGAUAGAGCCUCACAGGGGCCCCAAUGUCCUCUUGAAUGUGGUUUAUGUGCAGUAAUCACCAUCUGCAUUUUCUCAUUCAUCAGCUUGAAAAUGACGCUCCUCCGGAUCUGUUCUUAGCAUUUGACCUUGGGGCUCAACCAGCACAACCCCUUGUGGUCAGAACUCCACCCCAGUUCCAGGCCCUGCCAGCCCAACGGUCUACCUUCAGUUUUGCACAGUCCAGUAAAUCUCAACUUUAUAUUUCUUGACGUUAGAAAAACAAAGUGAAGCCAGCGCAGAGCUUCUUGUUGGCUACCAGAACGUCGGCAAGUCCUUCCCACCAAGGAGGGCUGGUGCAAGAUCCAGCGCCCCUGCAAUGCUGGGAACCCCUCCUCAGCUCUAUGCCUCAGCCCAUUUUCCUCUUUUCUCCAGAGCGUCUUCCAGCCCGUCACGGAGAUGGCUGUCAGCAUUUUGGAGCAGGACUUUAUCUGUCUGAAUGUUUGUGUGGCCACUGUUUCUCCCAGAAAGACUGGAGCUGCGCAGAGAUGGGGCAGAGAGGAUGGCUCUGGCCCUUCAUCUGGCCUCCUUCCCAGCAGGUGCUCCUCACUGCCAGGGCAUCUGGGCACCUGCUGAGCCCUUUCCCAACAGAAAGACUGAGUCAGGCAGAGAGCCUCACAGCAACCAUCCCCCACCUGGAGGGAGGACCUGUCUGAAGCAGCCACCUUUCUUGCUAAGCCUCAUACCACUGAAAGUCUUACCAACAAGCCCUGGGUGACUCACCUACCAUACCCAAGCAGCUUCUGAGGCAUCUUGCUGGACAAAAAAGGCCACCCACUCUUUGUUUUUUGUUUGUUUGUUUUGUUUUUUUUAGGGCCAAACCUGUGGCAUAUGGAAGUGCCCAGGCUAGGGGUUGAAUCCAAGCUGCAGCUGCUAGCCUACACCACAGCCACAGAACACGGGAUCCGAGCCACAUCUUCGACCUACACCACAGCUCAGGGCAACGCCGGAUCCUUAACUCACUGAGCGGGGCCAGGGAUCGAACAUGCAACCUCAUGGAUACUAGUCGGAUUCAUUAUCACUGAGCCACAAUGGGAACUCCAAAGGCCAUCCACUCUUGAGACAACUACGCCCUCCCUCUCCUUUCCCACCAAAGCGACGACUCCCAUGAUCGUCCUUGUCUGUCCUCUACUCCCUGUGGGGAAGAGUCAUGUGACAAGAGUAAGCAACCUGCACAGGGCUGAGGGAGGCUGGAGGAGCCAGGCCAGUGAGAGCAGGGCAGGGCCCUGUGGGAGAGGCAUCUGCAGCCGGGCUGCUCCAAGCAUCGGAUGGUGGGAUUGCCUGGGAGUUUGUUAGAGAUGCGGACUCCCAGCUCCUGCCCCAGGCCCCCUGGAUCCGAAACUGCAUUUUAUUAUAUAUUUUUUGGCUGGGCCCUCAGCAUGCAGAAAUUCCUAGGCCAGGGAUGGAACCCAUGCCACAGCAGUGACUCAAGCCACAGUGAUGACUAUGCCUGAUCCUUAACCCCUAGGCCACCAGGGAACUCCCAUAACUGCAUUUUAUAGAUCCCUGGAUGAUGCAAACAUGAAAGUUUGAGAAGUACUGGAUUCUGUAGAGCUCCAUGACACAUUAGAUUGGAGCAACCUCCCCCAGAGCUACUGUGAAUAAUCAAUGCCACAUUCAAAGGUUUUUAUUGUACCAAGUAAGAAAGCACGAUUUUCCUUACUUAAUUCUGGUAGCAACCCUGGGAAGUUGAUAUUGUUAUUCCCAUUUUACAGAUGAAGAAACUAGGCUUAAAGAGGUCAGACUGCACGCCCAAGGUUAUAAACUCAAAGAGCUAGGAUUUCACCCUAGGGCAGCUCAGCCUCUAAAUCUGCCACCUGAGGCAGGAAUUCUUCACUUGGGGGGAGGGAGCUGCAGGUAAAUCAAACCCCCAAGGAAAAAACCUGCCCACUCUAAAUCCCAGCUGGCCCUCACAUCAGAAACCCGGGCUAAGGCUCCCUGCAGGGAGGGGAGGAAUGGGAUGGGAGGGGCCUGGCAGGGCAGUGUUCGGCUCCCAGGAAACAGCUGGGCACAAAGUCCCAGCCCCCAGGGCCUGUUCAGGCUUGCCCUUCCCCAGCAGGCUCCUGCUCCCUAGGACAAAACAGAGCCCUUUGGGCCUGAGCCUGACUCAGCAGCUCUGAGGCGGGCAGGCGGGCAGGCGGGCAGGCGGGCAGGCAGGCGGGGGACACGUUACUCCAGAUUUCCUUGCUCACACGGCUCCUCUAAAAGCUGCUUUGCCUGCAGCUUCGCCAGGUCCAAAAAUGCAAUUGACAGCUGCCCUCUCCAAUCUAGCUCCAGUGUCACUCCUCCAUGAAAUCUGCAAAUCAAAGUCUCUAGGCGGCAGGGAGAAUUCUGUAAAUGUUAAUCGGACAUAUUAGCAUAUGAAUUGUUCCCAGUACCUCUGCAGGAUGCUUUUACAUAUUUCAUCUCAUUUCAUCCUUAACCUGUUGAGAUAGGUAUUAUUAUUCCCAUUUUACAGUUAUGAAAACAGAGCCUAGUGGGUUAUAGAGUUAGGAUGUGUCGACUGAAAAAAAAAAAAAAAAAA
rnacentral:lncRNA from 1 species